UAAAAACAGCUAUUCUAGAAAUGAAUAUCACACAGAUGCGCGUCUCCACACAGACACCGACCUCUGCAGCGAUGCGUCACAGAGCCAAGAGGACAAGGGCCUUCCCCUCAUCCGACAGGCAGCGAAUCUGCAGCCUCUGAGCUCCUUUCUCCGGAGACCCCAGUCCUGACCCACACCCCUGGAGUCACCAGCUGAUAGCUUCCUCCUGCUGGGGUUCAGAGUGGGCCCCCACUAAAAUACACCACAAUGGAAAUAAAUCUCUCAUGUGAAAGGUACCCUCCCUAACUCCGGAGGUGGAAGACUGCACUUAGCACCAGAGACAAGGAAUUCCGGCCAAGAAGCCUAUGCAAACAAAACUUGUCACUUCUCUAAUUUACUACCCCAAGCCCAAACUCUGUUUAGAUUCCUCGCUAAUCGAGCACCCAAAACCUAAGUCUUUGUCCUGUCAAUUCCUCACGCAUGUAUAGUUUCCUCGUCUC